UACGUAGGUGGCAAGCGUUAUCCGGAAUUAUUGGGCGUAAAGCGCGCGCAGGCGGUUUCUUAAGUCUGAUGUGAAAGCCCACGGCUCAACCGUGGAGGGUCAUUGGAAACUGGGGAACUUGAGUGCAGAAGAGAAAAGCGGAAUUCCACGUGUAGCGGUGAAAUGCGUAGAGAUGUGGAGGAACACCAGUGGCGAAGGCGGCUUUUUGGUCUGUAACUGACGCUGAGGCGCGAAAGCUAGGGGAGCGAACAGG
rnacentral:rRNA from 1 species